GACGAACGCUGGCGGCGUGCUUAACACAUGCAAGUCGAACGAAGAGCGAUGGAAUCUUGCUUCUAUCAAUCUUAGUGGCGAACGGGUGAGUAACGCGUAAUCAACCUGCCCUUCAGAGGGGGACAACAGUUGGAAACGACUGCUAAUACCGCAUACGAUCUAACCUCGGCAUCGAGGAUAGAUGAAAGGUGGCCUCUACAUGUAAGCUAUCACUGAAGGAGGGGAUUGCGUCUGAUUAGCUAGUUGGAGGGGUAACGGCCCACCAAGGCGAUGAUCAGUAGCCGGUCUGAGAGGAUGAACGGCCACAUUGGGACUGAGACACGGCCCAGACUCCUACGGGAGGCAGCAGUGGGGAAUCUUCCGCAAUGGACGAAAGUCUGACGGAGCAACGCCGCGUGAGUGAUGACGGCCUUCGGGUUGUAAAGCUCUGUUAAUCGGGACGAAAGGCCUUCUUGCGAAUAGUUAGAAGGAUUGACGGUACCGGAAUAGAAAGCCACGGCUAACUACGUG
rnacentral:rRNA from 1 species